rnacentral:rRNA from 1 species
GACGGAGGGUGCUAGCGUUGUUCGGAAUCACUGGGCGUAAAGGGCGCGUAGGCGGCCAGGCAAGUCGGCUUGUGAAAGCCCGGGGCUCAACCCCGGAGGUGCGGCCGGGACUGCUUGGCUGGAGGCCGGAAGAGGAGGGUGGAAUACCCAGUGUAGAGGUGAAAUUCGUAGAUAUUGGGUGGAACACCGGUGGCGAAAGCGGCUCUCUGGUCCGGACCUGACGCUGAGGCGCGAAAGCGUGGGGAGCGAACAGG